rnacentral:rRNA from 1 species
UACGUAGGGUGCGAGCGUUACUCGGAAUUACUGGGCGUAAAGCGUGCGCAGGCGGUAAGUUAAGUCUGAUGUGAAAGCCCCGGGCUCAACCUGGGAACGGCAUUGGAAACUGGCUUGCUGGAGUGUGGCAGAGGGGGGUGGAAUUCCGCGUGUAGCAGUGAAAUGCGUAGAGAUGCGGAGGAACACCGAUGGCGAAGGCAGCCCCCUGGGCCAACACUGACGCUCAGGCACGAAAGCGUGGGGAGCAAACAGG